GGAGAGGUGCGUGAGUGGCUGAAACGAGCGGCUUGCUAAGCCGCCGAGGUGGUUUUGCUGCCUCCGAGGGUUCAAAUCCCUCCCUCUCCGCCA
rnacentral:tRNA from 1 species